AACCGGCCGCCACCUAAACCUAGCGCGUGCCACUCUCCUGGCAGCCGCCGUUUGUUGUCGCGAGCGCAUUCCGGCGGCGUGGCGUGCGUGAUGUCUAGCUCUGCACAGUGUGGCGUGUCUCCAGUGGGUUGGGCUCAUUGUGGCUGGGUUUGAAGCAGCGUCUAGUUUUCGUUCCCUGCUUUGGAUGUGUCUGUGGCGGAGCUCUCAAUUGUUUGGGGGGAGAAGAACAACCCACUCGCGCUGCCGAGCUCGCCGUCAGAUUUUGGUUUUUGCAAGGGAGUUCUGCGGAGUGCGGUGUAUCUGCUUUGGUUUGGGUUCAUCAUGCCUGGGUUUGAAGCAGUGUGUCGCUGGCAUGGGACUUCUGCUUGCGCUUUCAUUUGCGGUUUGGGCUCGUGAAUUCUCCAAUUCGGAUUAUUUUUUCACCCGGUUCCCCUUUCAAAUUGAAUUCGGAUCCUUUUUUCUCUCGAGAGAAGAUGAAUUAGAUAUCACAUUAGCUGUGUUCCAUCAGUUAUCUGUAGAUGGUUUUCAGCUGUUUCAGUCCAUUUGAUUUGAUGGUCUUCACCGGGGCAAUUUCUUCCGAACGCUAAACGUUCAGCACUGCUUUAGCAUUCCAGCAUGCUUUCAGAUUCGCCUUUUACGAUUUUAUUUCAAACCUCUUUCCUGCUGUUCAUUCAUCUCCUUACCCUUUUUGCACUGUUGCAUUUGAGUGGUCUGACGCGUCCUUUAGAUUUGGCCUUUAACCAAUGCGCGUCAGGUACUAAAUCAUUUUAUUCAGAUUUGAUCCUAGACGGGCGCUUUUCCACUGCAAGGAUUUGCCCGCACUUGCGUUAGGUUUGGGUCACUGUACGUCUGUACCCCUUUCGUGAUAUUAAUGCCUUACAAUUUCUGAAAACAGAUAUUGCUUGUACUCUGGGUGUAGACACUGACACUAUAUAUACUAGUCCAUUAACCCGUUAGAAUUCCAGUGGGUAUAACAAUUCGGUGAUUUUAAAAAUUCCUUUAUUCUAAAUUAUCAAAUAUUUAUAGUCGUCCAUCAAUCCAUGCUCUUAAUUGGACUAUAAUUUAAAAGAUAUAAGAAUUAGAUGAUGUUUAAUAAUCCCUUCGUUAAAUUAUAAUAUAUCUUAUCUUUCUGGAUAUAUAUUUUUUACUUUGUAUGUUAAUUUUUUAUUGUAGGAAAUAGGAAUAUGCCUUUACUGUUUAAUUAGUACGCAUUAGUCUGACUGACCUUGCUGUUGGUGUGUUGUUUCAGGGAAAAAGAUACAGAUAUCGAUUUUGCUCAAGAUGCAAUUGAUGAAUAUAAGACAGGCAAUUGAAAAUGAGAAUUGAUCUUUUUUAUGGGCGAAGUGUUGGUGAAGGAAAUGUCUUGUUAGCAUCAAGUAAGUGGCGACAUCACAACCCCUACAAGCUUGUGCCUUAAAACAAGAGGAUACAAGAAGUUCGAGUGCUUUUGUGAAGGCUUUUGCGAAUCACUUGAAGCGUUAGUACUUAUGUGAAUGAUUUUGUAAAGUGUUUGCAAAUAUGUGCAAAACAUAAUAACAUGUGUAGGUUUUGUGAAUGAUUUUGUUGUGGUGCUUGUUGAUGGUUUAUGUGAUGUGGAUCUAUCAUUGUGCAAUACUAAUUAAAUUUGUA